ACUCCUACGGGAGGCAGCAGUAGGGAAUCUUGCGCAAUGGGCGAAAGCCUGACGCAGCCAUGCCGCGUGAAUGAUGAAGGUCUUAGGAUUGUAAAAUUCUUUCAGCAGGGAAGAUAAUGACUGUACCUGCAGAAGAAGCCCCGGCUAACUUCGUGCCAGCAGCCGCGGUAAUACGAAGGGGGCUAGCGUUGCUCGGAAUUACUGGGCGUAAAGGGCGCGUAGGCGGGUACUUAAGUCAGAGGUUAAAUCCCAGGGCUCAACCCUGGAACUGCCUUUGAUACUGGGCACCCUGAGUACGGGAGAGGUGAGUGGAACUCCGAGUGUAGAGGUGAAAUUCGUAGAUAUUCGGAAGAACACCAGUGGCGAAGGCGACUCACUGGCCCGUUACUGACGCUGAGGCGCGAAAGCGUGGGGAGCAAACAGGAUUAGAUACCCUGGUAGUCCACGCCGUAAACGAUGAGUGCUAGUUGUCGGCAUGCAUGCRUGUCGGUGACGCAKCUAACGCAUUAAGCACUCCGCCUGGGGAGUACGGUCGCAAGAUUAAAACUCAAAUGAAUUGACGG
rnacentral:rRNA from 1 species